CACGGCCCCACGCGCAGAGAUUGAAGUCCUUGCUGCUAGUGGGUCGGGUCCUCGCUUUGUGCGGGGAUGCGACGUGCAGCAAUGGCGCUAGCCGUUCGAGUCGUGUAUUGGUAAGUCCCAGUGCUACAGUUCCCCCUUUUCCUGCUUUCGGCUCUUUGUGCCAGGGACUCCCUUCUCUGCUCCCCAUCCUUUGUGCCAGAAAUCCCACUCCCCACCCCCACCCACCCACUCUAUCUACCAGGGUCUGGUGGUCGAGUACGAUGACUGUAUUCCAUAGCCAAAGGGAGGGAUUUCCAAGCGGGUGGGAUGACGGAGGUAACAGAGACUUGAGCCAGAUUCCUGGCAUCUGCCAUCAGAGGCAUCUCGCCAGAGAAAGUGGAAACUGGUGCUUGGGUCCCUAUUUGAACACGUGACAGCGCUGAGGGAAGGGGAAGGGUAGCAUCGGGUUUCUCUGGGGACCUUUACCUUCGACAGUCUGUUUCCCUUCCCCCUCUCUGAGCAGCACUGGGUUAGAGAAGGCUAAAGGCCUGAUUUAGGGAAGUCUAAGAUACAUGUCGUGGUUGGGGGUUGACUCUUAAGCGCUGUUGGGAGGUCUGGGGAUGUCCUGUACCUGGAUUGUAGUGUGAGUUAGCAGCGGCCGUGCCUCCCUGUGUACAUGAAAAAAGGGAGAAUUGAGCCACGGAGUGGUGGUGGUGGUGCACACUUUUAAUCCCAGCAUUUGGAAGCAGAGGCAGGUAGAUAGUUCCAGGCCAGCCUGGUCUGCUUGUUAGGGGCAACCAGGGUGAUGAGGUGAGACCCUGUGCCCCGAAAAGGAAAAGCAAUGUGGGAUAGAUUGUAGGGGUUAGGAUGUAGCUCAGUGGUAGAGUGUCUGCCUGAAAUGCACCAGGUUCUGGGGUUCGGUUCCCAGCAAUACAAAAAGCAAAACAAAACCAAGAAACUCUUACUGGCCUCUGAUCAGUGGGUACUGGUGCUGUUAGCUCCAGUCCUGUCCUUUUCUGGCCUCAGUUUCCCCUUCUGUAGUGUGAAGGGGUGAUGAUGUUGGUUAGUUACCUGACAGUGCUAUAAUUGUGCCCCUGCUAAAGGCAAGCAUUUUCCAUGCUUGCCAGCAUUUCUUGAUGGCUUUUCCUCCAUCUGCGUCUGAUACUCAGCUGGCAUUCAGUAAGUGAUUCCACAUUCCUGAAGCCUCUUGAGGGCUCUCUACUCUGUCUCCAUUUUACAGGGAGGAAACUGAGGCUGGAAAUGAGGCAGGGCCAGCCUGAGGUCUUACAACUGAUAACUCUGUAACUUGAAUCUGGGUUCCCUGGUCCACUUAGCUGCAUGUGGUCUCCCCCCUCCCCCUGCAACUCCCUCGAGGGGUCUGAUCAUCCCCAGUUAUCAGGAUGUCCUUCAAAAGCAUGCUUUAAUAUGUUGAGGAUCUCACGAGGCCACUGUACCAGAUUCCAGGCACAAAUGGCCUGAGGUAGGGGAUGUGGGGGCAGGGAAAGUUAGGAUUCCUGACUGACAGCCAGGCGAGGGAGGGAGUGGGUGGAUGAAAUUCUACUGAGGCAGCAUUUGUCUUAAUCUCCUUCCCUCUGUUUCCUUCCCCAUUGUCAUCUCUAUGAAACCUGUGAUCUCUUUGCCACACACACCCCCCACACCCCCGCCAUCUUGGCUCUCUUGUUUGGGGUGGGCUUUCUUUGUUUCUUUUUUUUUUUUUUUUUGUUUUUUUCCGGAGCUGGGGACCGAACCCAGGGCCUUGCUAGGGCCUUGCUCCUGCUAGGCAAGCGCUCUACCACUGAGCUAAAUCCCCAACCCCCUUUCUUUGUAUCUCUGCAUUGUUGCACACAUCUCUCUGUGUGAUGAGCUUGCCUUCCCCUCCUUUGAGGGUCUUAGUCACCUGUGCAUUCUCAUCUGGAUCUAUCACCUUUGUCUCACUGCUGUUGCCUGCCUCCCUUGGUACCUGUGACCCAUGCUCUGCCCCGUGGACUGUGACAACCCUGGAUUCACCUGAUAGUGGAGCUUGAGGCUAUAAGCCCAAGGUGAGUGAGUGACACUUCUCAGGAGUGUCUUGAAGUAGGUCAGGGUGGGUACACCGUCGGGAGCAUUUGCUGGGCCCGGCUGUGAUAACACCACCCCUACCCUGUACCCUGUUUCCAGUAUCUCCAGCUCAAGGAGAAGCUAGAACAUGAGUUCCCCGGAUGCCUGGACAUCGUGAGUCUUAGAAUGGGCACAGAUCACGCCGUGCCUUGUCUGUCCCUUGGGACUGGGAGGCAGUGGGAAUGGGUUAAAGCCAAUCCUCUCUGUCCUUACGUUCUUGACUCCCUGGGAUGUGAUGGAGAAGGUAUUCCUAAGAGGUCAUCUUAACCCCCCUCUUAAUGCCUUCUUUCCUCAGUGUGGCGAGGGGACUCCCCAGGUCACCGGGUUCUUUGAAGUGACGGUAGCCGGGAAGUUGGUUCACUCCAAGAAGAGAGGUGAUGGCUACGUGGAUACAGAGAGCAAGUUCCGGAAACUGGUGACUGCCAUCAAAGCCGCCUUGGCUCAGUGCCAGUGAGCCCUAGAGGCAGGGUCCUGAAGGCUCCUGGCCGGCCUUUCUUGGCAGCCGCUUCAUGACAGGAAGGACUGAAAUGUCUCAAAGACCUGUGGUCUUUCUUCGAUGUUCCUGCGGCCACCAAGUCAGGCCAGAGAUGGAUUCUGUGUGUGGGUGCCUUCCCAGAAUCUACCUGUGCACGCACCCCGCCCUGCCCUCCCGCCCUCUUCCUCACCUCUCUCUGAAUUCCCCCAUGUUUCCUACCUUCCCUCCUGCUUUGGUUUCCCGUCUCCCCCUCAAGACUGCAAGAAGACGGGCAGCCGUGUCGCCAGGUGUUCCUGGUUGAAUAAAGGUUGGCCAAGGCAACCUGAGGAAAUGUAGUUUAUUUUGCCUUGCAGUUUCGGGUCACAAUCCUGGAUGGGGAAUUCAAGGUAGCAGGGUCUUGAAGAAGCUGGUCACAUUGUAUCUGCAGGCAGAAAGCAGAGAGAUGGAGCUGGGUGAAACGGCCCAGCAGGCGAAGGCACUUACUGCCAAGACAUAGUCCGAGUUCAGUCCUUGAGACCCACAGACCACAUGGCGGAAUAAGACAAGCAACCCUGCUGACCUCUGUUGCCUGCUUUGGCACUCUGGAGAGUACACAAACGCACAUGCGUGUGAGCCCUCUCUCCUCCCCCCACCUUUCUCUCUCUCUCACACACACAUACGCACACACGCACACAGAAAAACUAUAAUACACAGAGUGGAGAACACAUGCUACUGCUCAGCUCCUGUAGUCCAGAUCUCCUGACUAUGGUCCCAUCCACAGUGGUUAAGAGCACUGGCUGUUCUUCCAGAGGACCUGGGUUAAAUCCUUAUUAACCACAACCAUUUAUAACUCCAGUUCCAGAGGAUCUGACACCUUCUGGCCUUCUCGGGCACUAGGCAUGCACAUGGUACACAUAUAUGCAGGCAAACCACCGUAUAUCUUUAGACAUACCAAAAGAGGGCAUCGGAUGCCCAUUACAGAUGGUUGUGAGUCACCAUGUGGUUGCUGG
rnacentral:lncRNA from 1 species